rnacentral:rRNA from 1 species
ACCGGCGAUACCCGAAUGGGGAAACCCAGUGUGAUUCGUCACACUAUCAUUAACUGAAUCCAUAGGUUAAUGAGGCGAACCGGGGGAACUGAAACAUCUAAGUACCCCGAGGAAAAGAAAUCAACCGAGAUUCCCCCAGUAGCGGCGAGCGAACGGGGAGGAGCCCAGAGCCUGAAUCAGCAUGUGUGUUAGUGGAAGCGUCUGGAAAGGCGCGCGAUACAGGGUGACAGCCCCGUACACAAAAGCGCAUGUGCUGUGAGCUCGAUGAGUAGGGCGGGACACGUGGUAUCCUGUCUGAAUAUGGGGGGACCAUCCUCCAAGGCUAAAUACUCCUGACUGACCGAUAGUGAACCAGUACCGUGAGGGAAAGGCGAAAAGAACCCCGGCGAGGGGAGUGAAAAAGAACCUGAAACCGUGUACGUACAAGCAGUGGGAGCACCCUUUGGG